GACGAACGCUGGCGGCGUGCUUAACACAUGCAAGUCGAACGGAAAGGCCCCUUUGGGGGUACUCGAGUGGCGAACGGGUGAGUAACACGUGAGUAACCUGCCCUUGACUUCGGGAUAACUUCAGGAAACUGGGGCUAAUACCGGAUAGGAAUCCUUGCUGCAUGGUGGGGGUUGGAAAGCUUCGGCGGUUUUGGAUGGACUCGCGGCUUAUCAGCUUGUUGGUGGGGUAGUGGCUUACCAAGGCUUUGACGGGUAGCCGGCCGGAGAGGGCGACCGGCCACAUUGGGACUGAGAUACGGCCCAGACACCUACGGGAGGCAGCAGUGGGGAAGAGUGCACAAUGGGCGGAAGCCUGAUGCAGCAACGCCGCGUGCGGGAUGACGGCCUUCGGGUUGUAAACCGCUUUCAGCAGGGGCGAAGCUUGUGGUGACGGUACCUGCAGAAGAAGCACCGGCUAACUACGUG
rnacentral:rRNA from 1 species